AAAUAGUAGUCCAACAUAGUCCGAAUGUUCAUACAUAUUACAAUACUGAAAUGAGAUGGAUAUCCUAAAUACUACUAAACUAGUAACAUUGUAUUAUAACAUUAACAUAAAAACAAUACAAAUAUCUUCAUUAUCAGACAUGAUCACGCAUAUACAGAGAUGUGCAUUUUCAGAUUUUCCUGAGUGAGAGUAGUACCUGGAAUUACAACAAAGAGGAAAACUUAUGAGUAAGGUAACCGAGAAGCAACAAACAACAACAGAUCAACCAAUUAAGCCCAGGAAUAGUAUCAGGAAACUCAGGAAGGUUUUGGAAGAUCAACAACAACGAAAGUUCCAAUUCUAUAGCUCGAACAAAACAACCAUCCUGGGAUCAAUGCCCAAAGUAGAUUCUAACACUCUAAAUACAAAUGCUUAAAUUCAUCUUCACCUUACAAUGGCUAGAAGUCUGAUUAUUUUCUGGAAAUAUUAGGAAGGCUUUUGCUAAGAAAACUUGGAUUUUUAGGGAAUUUUUCAGAUGGUAUUCUCGAAAUCCCGUUUUUUUAAAGCAAUAAGAUGCUUUUUAUAACCAAAGCCUUAGGGCAACAUUUUUCUUCUUGUUUUCUUAUUAGUCCCUUCCCCAUUUUCCAGAUUUGCUUAAUUGAUCCCUUAUUUUUUAACUUGUGCCUCAAGUUUUUGAGAAAAAUUAACAAAAAUUGCAUUUCGAACCUCUAACUAGAAGGUUUCAGGGAUUUGUUACAAUAUUCUUAUGCCCAAAUACCCAUGUUACCCCAGUCUUUCCUUCUUAAUUACUAGACUAAAUGUUUUCUACCCAGGUGCCUAUCCAUUUGUUCAGGAGUUGACCAUGGUCAAUUACUCAAGGCCAUAAAUUAUGGUCUCAUUAGCAGUUGGGGUCAAGUUUUAAGAAAGAUGGGCAUGACUAAAUAUUAAAUUGAAGACUAUACUACUCUAUUAAAGGCAAACAAAAUAUGGCCAAAAC
rnacentral:lncRNA from 1 species